UACAGAGGGUGCAAGCGUUGCUCGGAAUCAUUGGGCGUAAAGGGCAGGUAGGUGGUCUGAUUUGUCUGGCGGUGAAAUCCUUGAGCUUAACUCAAGAAGUGCCCCGGAAACGGUCAGACUUACGAGUCUUGGAGAGGGUUGCGGAAUUCCCGGUGUAGCGGUGAAAUGCGUAGAGAUCGGGAGGAACACCAGAGGCGAAGGCGGCAACCUGGGACGGUACGUGACG
rnacentral:rRNA from 1 species